UGUGAAGCCAUCCUCUCUUGCUGACACUCGUGCCACGGGGAAUCGUAUCUACCUUCUGAACGAACUCUCCUGAGUGAUGCUGACCCUGGAUCGGCACUGCAGACUGCUUCAGGAUGGUGGGGUAGAGCGGAAGGCUCACACUGCCCCAGCCAUGCAUGCUUGGUCACUGAGUUCAUCGGAGCAGCCACACAGGAGCUCCCUGCUGUCUGUGGAGAGGACACCGACCUCUGCAGAUUUCCUCUCUCAAAUCCCUAAUGGCUGCUCUGGGGACUCCGAGAACUGUAUUCUACUCUCUAUUGUUGCUGCAGAGAAAGUGUGGAAGAACAUUCUGGAAGCUUUU
rnacentral:lncRNA from 1 species